AUACCCUAUUAUUUUUAUUGUAAAGAUUUAAUGCUGGAGUAUUAAUAGAUAUAGUCUUUAAACUUAAAGAAUUUGGCGGUUUUAUAAUCUAUUUAGAGGAAUCUGUUGUGUAAUUGAUAAUCCACACUGAACCUUACUUAUAUUAAUUUCCUGUAUACCGCUGUUGUAAGAAGAUUCUUUUAGGAAAUUUUCUUGAUAUAAUAUUAAUUAAAAUUUCAAGUCAAGGUGCAGUUAUAUAUGAGUUGAAUAAUGGAUUACAAUAAAUUUUAUUUAUUAUAUGGAUUGUUAUUGUAAAUAUAAUUUGAAAGUGGAUUUAAUUGUAAUUUUAUGAAGAUUAAUAAAAUGAUUAUAGUUAUAUAAUGUGUACACAUCGCCC
rnacentral:rRNA from 1 species